UGCGUCAUGUAGUGAUGGACCAGUUCCUGAUCUUUGUUGGACGGGACAGGGUCACCACUCCCUUGUAUUUUGGGAUUUGUGUAUUUUAAUGGGAUUUAUGGAUAUUUACCGUAAAGUACAAUGAUGGACCAGUUCCUGCUUUUGUUGGACGGGGCGGAGUUGCCACUCCCUUGUACAUGUAUGUCGGGAUUUGUGUAUUUUAAAGUCAUUUAUUGAUAUUUACGGUGCGUCUUGUAGUGACGGACCAGUUCCUGAUCUUUGUUGGACGGGACAGGGUCACCACUCCCUUGUAUAUCGGGAUUUGUGUAUUUUAAUGGGAUUUAUGGAUAUUUACCGUGCGUCUUGUAGUGAUGGACCAGUUCCUGCUUUUGUUGGACAGGGCGGAGUCGCCACUCCCUUGUACAUGUAUAUCGGGAUUUGUGUAUUUUAAAGUCAUUUAUUGAUAUUUACGGUGCAUCUUGUAGUCACGGAUGCUUGUGUUAGAGAAAAUUGGCUACAGGCAAGGACAGCCUCAGCCUGACAUGUGUUAAUCAUAUGAUUGUUGACUGUUGAGUUGGGGGACUACUGUUUGUUAUCCAUUGUACCUGUAGAAUGGACACAAUGCAGUAUCAGUAAGCCUUUUGUAAUACAUGUACAUAUAAUACCGUAUGGCUGGUAAUUUUUUGGGUCAUAUAUUUCGCGAAAUCUACUAACAAUCCAAUUCGCAGAUAUUAAUUUCG
rnacentral:lncRNA from 1 species